rnacentral:rRNA from 1 species
UACAGAGGGUGCAAGCGUUGUUCGGAAUUAUUGGGCGUAAAGCGCGUGUAGGCGGUGAUGCAUGUCGGGUGUGAAAGCCCUCAGCUCAACUGAGGAAGUGCGCCCGAAACUGCAUCGCUGGAGUGCCGGAGAGGAAGGCGGAAUUCCCGGUGUAGAGGUGAAAUUCGUAGAUAUCGGGAGGAACACCAGUGGCGAAGGCGGCCUUCUGGACGGACACUGACGCUGAGACGCGAAAGCGUGGGUAGCAAACAGG